rnacentral:rRNA from 1 species
GUCUACAGCCAUGUCGCCCUGAAUAAGCCUGAUGCCAUCUGAGCUCGGAAGCUAAGCAGGGUCGGGCCUGGUUAGUACUUGGAUGGGAGACCACCUAGGAAGAUCAGGUGCUGUAAGUG